AUCAAUAGAACCAUAGAGUUGGUUCAUACAUACUCUCCUGCAGGCUAAUCCCACAAAUCCCUCUCUGCUAUGUGCACGAGUUGCUGGUUGCCCUUCUUACCAAUCUUUCCAUCUCCUCAAGGUAUCUUUUCCCUCUAUAGUGCAUCUGUCCUCAUUGCAUUUAAUUCUAACCACUUCCAUUUGAACAGGACAUGUUAAAUUGUUAGCCAAUAAUAAGUGGUAAUUAUUGAAGAUGCCUUUGGACUUAAUGAACACUCUCCUUAUGAUCUCUAUUACGGAUGAUGAAGAAGGGAAGGGGUAGACAGCUGCAAGACAGACUUUGAGUGCCAGGUCCAGACUACACAGUGUUACAGUGUACAUGGUGAGGAGGGACGAGGGAGGGACAGAUGUCACAAUGACUAUGAGGUUUCUGGCUUACAGAUUUGAAUUGAAAUAGCAUGUGAUACCGAAUGCUGGUAUAAACACAUGAACACACGGUUUUAAUUGAGUAUAUUUAUCUCUCAGAAGGAAUUUACAGAAUUCUAUUAGAUCAUCUUGAUAUUUGCCUUUUAGCUUGUCUUUAAAUUGUAGAUUAAUGACUUCCAGUUGAAGGUCAGGUGAAAACUCUUCAAUUGCAAAGUAAAAUGCAUUUUGAAAAAUGCAACUUUCCCUUGCCCUUGCAUCGAGGCUUGAAAAGUGCUGUGGGACUAUAGUUUGAGCUCUGAAAAUAUAUCUGCUACAAAUUUCUGUGAAAAUGGGAGAUCUCACUUCUUGAUUUAACUUUGUAGCAAGAGUGGCUACAGCAGCUUGACAUUCCUUGUGAUUCAAACAUCAGUGUUCUCAAAAUUACUUUGUAGCAGUGUGAGUGUAAUACAUGGAUGCUGUUUGCUUGCAAUUUUAGAUUGAAUUUAUUAAGAAAUAUUAUCAAAUCUGCAGCAAAUAUGUAUUUCUGAAGCCAACUCGACAUAAAUCACAGUGGCUGAAGGUUAAACUUGGCCAUGAGGCUGUACAUUUCAGACCCCUGUUCUAAAGGCUACCAAAGGCAAUGGUUUGCAUUGUUCCACUAUAAAUAUUUAUUGUUUUUUAUUUGUCUUGAGCAAGAUGUAGAGAACCCUUAUAGUGGCCAUUCUUUCAUGAAUUUCUUGAACAAUCAUUUGCUGAGGGCUUACCAUGUUAUUUGGAGCCUACUAGGUGUCAGGGAACUAAAAACACGGUCGUACUGGAGACACGGGAGCCAGCAUUCCCAUAUAAUACAGUUCGUGUUGAAAAGAAAUAUGCAAAUGUACUAUAGGAGCAAAGUGAAGAAAGCCAAUUAAUUGUGAUUUAUCAGAUUUAUCAGACUGUACUUUGAAUCAGAUGGGAAAGAAGAAGAUAUUAGGUCCUAGUCAUAAAGCACCUGUAGUAAUUUCCUAAGGAGAGAAGUCAAGAAAGGGAACUCCAGGCAAAGAGACCAGUCUGUAUACAGAGGGCUGGAGGCAUGAGAAGACGCCAGAGCAUGAGAGCCAGUGGAAGCCAACUGGAAGGAGAGGAAGAGGGCAGACGUGGCUGGAGAGGCAAGAGAGGUCACCGAGGUGGCCUGGGGAGCCAGGGCUCACAAGCUUCAAAAUGCAAACAAAUCAUCUGGACAACCUGGACAAAGUGAGAUUUCCCAUCCAGUUGGUGGGGCUUCCACUCUGCAUUUCUAACAAGAUCCCAGGCGGCGGUGAUACUGCGGCUGGAGGAGGGCCAAGCGUGAACAGCAAGACUCCAUGCAACACUGAGGUUUGAGCCCUCCCCCCUCUGCUGGUGAAUCCAGUGCUGUCGAUCUUGCGCAGGGAAGUGACACAGUCAAACUCUGGCAUUUCAAAGACAAAGCUGUAGCUAGAAGGGGUAUGGGACACAUGUAGGAAGAGAAGCUUGUUCAAGAGAGGAAUCCUGAGAGCCCACGGUAAGAUGUGAUAAUGAUGACACACAUUGUAAAAACAUUCAACAGGAGUUUGCCAACUGGCACUGACAGGAGCGUAAAACUACUGCAAAUUGUUACUUCAGCGGUACCUGCCUGCCAAGGUCUGAUCAGCGGUGCCUCUCGUGCACCUUCCACUCUUUCCUAACUGACAUCGGAGCCCACGGUGCUGCUGGGUAAUGCCUCUCACCCUGCGGCACGGAGUGGAAUCACCUGACUUCCCCCCACUUUAAGACAAACAUGCACGAAUGCCAUCAUUAUGAAAAUGAAUGUCUAGUCUGCAGAUCGGAGGGGUUGUGGGGAACCGUAGGGGCAAGCACUCGUACUCUUCUCUGUGACUUCGUUUGCACUGAUUCAUCCAUCUCUCCGUCUCAGCAGUUACCAGCUGCAUCCCCUUUCCCUAACCUGAGAAUGCAGAGAAGCUGUCCCUAGUGAAGACAUUCUAAUGGGGCUCUGCGGGUCACCUGACAAAAGCUGGCCGAAGUGAUAGAUGCUGUAUUCUUCCUUCUGUGGAGCUGGAUGCUCUCCACCAUUGCUGGGUCAAAUUAGGACUCCUGAGAAUAGUAUCUGGAUCCCCUACACAGUUCUGAAAUGCCAUGAUCUUCUGAAUGGAUAAGAUCAGCAAGUAUUUCAAAUUUAUGUAGUCAACCUCGGAGAACUAGACUGAACACAUAAAACUUUUCAGAUGACAGAAAACAUGAAUAAGCAGGUAGAAAAUGGGUUUCUUGGCUGACAUAUGGCAAAUGAAGUUUAAACACGUAAGGACAGGACAGUAAUUCAUACUGAUUGUAAAACUAAAAGGAAACAUAAAUAUAUUCUUCCAGUAUUUCAAAUUUUGUCAUCACAAGUCAUGGGUGCCUUCUUAUUCCCCAUAACCCAUCCUCUGCCCAACAAGCACAUCCCUUCUGAAGACUAGAUAUUAGUCACUCUAGCACUAUUUUGUUUCUUGCAUAGUGGUGACCUUUCAGUUUUUUUUAAUCCAUAAUAUAACCAGGAUUAAGUCUUCCCCAUUAGUUGGUAGGGUCUUCUAUUCUCUCAAAAGCUGUUAUGACCAAACUUCUCACAGAAGAGGCAUUAAUUAAUUAGGAAAGCAUACCAUGAAAGAGCCAUUCCUGUUUAUUGUCCCAAACAUCACCUUAUGAAAUUAUUUACUACAGAAAUAUAUUUUUGAAGUUUUCUCAUUUGGAAGGGAACAUGUUUAGAAACUAGUGUGUCUCUAGGGUUUAAGAAAUUACCUUCUUUGUCUUAGUUCUAACUGAGUAUUAUCUUAAAGUAGAAGUCAGGUCUUAAAAUACAUGCAGCAGAGAGGAGAUAAAUAAGUAAAACAGAUAAAACUGUUAUUCAGGUAUUAUAUAAAGAAAGUCCACUUACGCAGUAGGAAGAAAAAUCAUUCACCACAACUUCAACUCAAAGGGUAUAACUUGUAAUUUUAAAAAAAAUAAAUGUUAUAGAAUUAUAAAUGUUCUUGUAUUAUAACCAAUAUUAUAUUAUAUUGAAUGUUUCAUUUAGACAUCGUUCUAAAGGAUUAAUUUUUAAAUUCACCAAGAAUAUCCUUAUACUUGCAGUAUGCCAUUAGUUAAGUUCAGACAAAAAUAAAAUGUUUUAGAGAAAGUUUAAUAAAAUUUUUG